ACGCUGGCGGCAGGCUUAACACAUGCAAGUCGAACGGUAACAGGGAUUAGCUUGCUAAUUUGCUGACGAGUGGCGGACGGGUGAGUAAUGCUUGGGAAUCUGGCUUAUGGAGGGGGAUAACUACGGGAAACUGUAGCUAAUACCGCGUAAAAUCUUCGGAUUAAAGGGUGGGACUUUCGAGCCACCUGCCAUAAGAUGAGCCCAAGUGGGAUUAGGUAGUUGGUUAGGUAAAGGCUGACCAAGCCGACGAUCUCUAGCUGGUCUGAGAGGAUGACCAGCCACACUGGAACUGAGACACGGUCCAGACUCCUACGGGAGGCAGCAGUGGGGAAUAUUGCACAAUGGGGGGAACCCUGAUGCAGCCAUGCCGCGUGAAUGAAGAAGGCCUUCGGGUUGUAAAGUUCUUUCGGUGACGAGGAAGGUUGAUAGGUUAAUAGCCUAUCAAAUUGACGUUAAUCACAGAAGAAGCACCGGCUAACUCCGUGCCAGCAGCCGCGGUAAUACGGGGGGUGCGAGCGUUAAUCGGAAUAACUGGGCGUAAAGGGCACGCAGGCGGUGACUUAAGUGCGAUGUGAAAGCCCCGGGCUUAACCUGGGAAUUGCAUUUCAUACUGGGUCGCUAGAGUACUUUAGGGAGGGGUAGAAUUCCACGUGUAGCGGUGAAAUGCGUAGAGAUGUGGAGGAAUACCGAAGGCGAAGGCAGCCCCUUGGGAAUGUACUGACGCUCAUGUGCGAAAGCGUGGGGAGCAAACAGGAUUAGAUACCCUGGUAGUCCACGCUGUAAACGAUGUCGAUUUGGGGAUUGGGCUUUGAGCUUGGUGCCCGUAGCUAACGUGAUAAAUCGACCGCCUGGGGAGUACGGCCGCAAGGUUAAAACUCAAAUGAAUUGACGGGGGCCCGCACAAGCGGUG
rnacentral:rRNA from 1 species